CUCCUUCACCCGGCCGGCUUCCAGGGGUGCGCUCCCGGCGUGGAGGAGUGCUGAGGAGAAAGGGGAGAUAAGACAAAAAAAAACGCGUUUGCGGUUUCCUCCCCGUCUGGAAGGUGAGUGUUCACUGAAGUGCUGCUGCUCUCUCCUCUCUCCUCCUGCAGCGCGAGGGUCAGAGCGUCGCCGCGCAGCGCGUGCCUCGGUGGAGCGACGGCGAGUCGCGCGGCCCCUCGGCCCGCUGCUGCCUUUCCCGGGAUCUUGGGCCUCUCCGGAGUAGUUCGGCCCUGCCUGCAGACUGAAUUGCAACAGAAGAUUCAACUUGAAGAAAAGCAGGAGUUGUGCAGAGUUGCACUUGAAAAAGGAUCCACUGUGGAAGAGGCCGAUGGUUUUUGUGGGAUCACUACUUCUGUUAGCCUGUUUCUGACAACUGACCUCAUGGAAGUGUGGCGUGGCGUCACAGCCCGGAAAGUGGAUGUCAUAUUGACUCACAGUCAGAUACCUGAUAGAUUUUAAUGGGUUGUGCACUUGAUCUCGCUACAGCAGUUCUGGUUGAAUGCCCUGCAGGUGCCCUCGCCUGUUCAGUCGGUGCCGGCCUGGGUAGGGACCGCUGCUGCCGAUGACGUGGAGUGGAAGGAUGUGCAUGCAUGUUGGUGUGUGUUUUGAGUGGGAAACCCUUAAAGUAGCUUUCACUGUGCCAUGUAAAAGUUACUGAAAGGCACAGCCGUGCACUCUGUGUGCAUACAGCUGUAAGAGUAGACACAAUAAAGCGUUGCCGAGUGGAUUUAGGGCUCUGCUC
rnacentral:lncRNA from 1 species